AAAAUUAGAGUGUUCAAAGCAGGCAGAUCCAAUUUUCUGCCACCGAAUACAUUAGCAUGGGAUAAUGGAAUAGGACCCUGUCCUCCUAUUUUCAGUUGGUUUUGGCAGCGCGAGGACUAGGGUAAUGAUUAAUAGGGAUAGUUGGGGGCAUUAAUAUUUAAUUGUCAGAGGUGAAAUUCUUGGAUUUAUGAAAGAUUAACUUCUGCGAAAGCAUCUGCCAAGGAUGUUUUCAUUAAUCAAGAACGAAAGUUAGGGGAUCGAAGACGAUCAGAUACCGUCGUAGUCUUAACCAUAAACGAUGCCGACCAGCGAUUAGGAGACGUUGAAUACAAAACACCACCAUCGGUGCGGUCGUCCUUGGCGUCUCGGUCCUUCACGGGGCCGGGGCGCGGGGGUGGCUUAGCCCGGUGGCACCGGUGAA
rnacentral:rRNA from 1 species